rnacentral:rRNA from 1 species
GAGUUUGAUCAUGGCUCAGAUUGAACGCUGGCGGCAGGCCUAACACAUGCAAGUCGAGCGGAAACGAGGAUAGCUUGCUAUCCGGCGUCGAGCGGCGGACGGGUGAGUAAUGGUUGGGAACUUGGCCUAGUGAGGGGGAUAACAGUUGGAAACGACUGCUAAUACCGCAUGAUAUCUUCGGAUCAAAGAAGGGGCUCUUAGGACCUUUCGCACUAGGAUAGGCCCAAUUGGGAUUAGCUAGUAGGUGGGGUAAUGGCUCACCUAGGCGACGAUCUCUAGCUGGUUUGAGAGGAUGAUCAGCCACACUGGAACUGAGACACGGUCCAGACUCCUACGGGAGGCAGCAGUGGGGAAUAUUGCACAAUGGGGGAAACCCUGAUGCAGCCAUGCCGCGUGUAUGAAGAAGGCCUAGGGUUGUAAAGUACUUUCAGCGAGGAGGAAGGUGUGCGAGUUAAUACCUCGUAUAUUUGACGUUACUCGCAGAAGAAGCACCGGCUAACUCCGUGCCAGCAGCCGCGGUAAUACGGAGGGUGCGAGCGUUAAUCGGAAUUACUGGGCGUAAAGCGCAUGCAGGCGGUAUGUUAAGUUAGAUGUGAAAGCCCUGGGCUUAACCUAGGAGUUGCAUUUAAGACUGGCAUGCUAGAGUCUUGUAGAGGGGGGUAGAAUUUCAGGUGUAGCGGUGAAAUGCGUAGAGAUCUGAAGGAAUACCGGUGGCGAAGGCGGCCCCCUGGACAAAGACUGACGCUCAGAUGCGAAAGCGUGGGUAGCAAACAGGAUUAGAUACCCUGGUAGUCCACGCUGUAAACGAUGUCUACUUGGAGGUUGUUGUCAUGAAUGAUGGCCUUCGGAGCUAACGCGUUAAGUAGACCGCCUGGGGAGUACGGUCGCAAGAUUAAAACUCAAAUGAAUUGACGGGGGCCCGCACAAGCGGUGGAGCGUGUGGUUUAAUUCGAUGCAACGCGAAGAACCUUACCUACUCUUGACAUCCAGCGAAGUCGGCAGAGAUGCUGAUGUGCCUUCGGGAGCGCUGAGACAGGUGCUGCAUGGCUGUCGUCAGCUCGUGUUGUGAAAUGUUGGGUUAAGUCCCGCAACGAGCGCAACCCUUAUCCUUGUUUGCCAGCGAGUAAUGUCGGGAACUCCAGGGAGACUGCCGGUGACAAACCGGAGGAAGGUGGGGACGACGUCAAGUCAUCAUGGCCCUUACGAGUAGGGCUACACACGUGCUACAAUGGGAUAUACAGAGGGCAGCGAGGCAGCGAUGUGGAGCGAAUCCCGUAAAGUAUCUCGUAGUCCGGAUUGGAGUCUGCAACUCGACUCCAUGAAGUCGGAAUCGCUAGUAAUCGUGGAUCAGAAUGCCACGGUGAAUACGUUCCCGGGCCUUGUACACACCGCCCGUCACACCAUGGGAGUGGGUUGCUCCAGAAGUAGAUAGUCUAACCUGCGGGGGGACGUUUACCACGGAGUGAUUCAUGACUGGGGUGAAGUCGUAACAAGGUAACCGUA